GGUCCGGUAGCUCAGUUUGGUUUAGAGCGCCUGUCUUAUAAGCAGGAGGUCCUGGGUUCAAAUCCCAGCCGGACCA
rnacentral:tRNA from 1 species